GAAUUUUGCGUAAAGGGAACGAUCAUGCACUCGUGCUCACGCACGGGUGUCUGCCCAAUGGCACAUAGCAUUCGACCUAAGUCCAGGGGUGAAACUCUGCCGAGUGACUAGUUUGCUCUACUUCUCCAUGGAGGGUGAAAGACCCGUGUGGCGAAUGCAUAGUGUCUGGGUUUGAUUGUUUUCCCUGAGAGUCGCGUUGCUUGAGCAUGCAGCGCAAAGCAGGACGUAGACUCGUCCUAAGGCUAAAUAUUUCCACAGAACCGAUAGCGAACAAGUACCGUGAGGGAAAGUUGAAAAGGACUCUGAAGAGAGAGUUAAAAGACCGUGAAACCGUACAGGGCAGAGACUGAUGGAUUUGGCUUUCCGGUGGCAAUGAGAGGGAUGUGUGUACUACUUUGUGGUACCGUCCCUCUCUGUGUGAGGUUGGCUUAUAUGGAAGACAGUGGAAGUGUGUUCAGUGAAACGACAGUUUUGCAAAGCUGUGUGACGGUUGUAACACAGCAAUGAGCCACAAACGCACGGGGUUUUGGUGUCGGAUGAUGGGUAUGUCAGCUUGCACGAUUCGCUCUGCAUUCUUAAAUACCUUGAGGCAGUCUUGAGUGCGCAUCCACGUUGAGAUCCUCUUACCGUAGCCACCGGAAUGCACCAACGCUUUACGAGGUCAGGGUGCCACACGGCUCUCCGAGUCGUGUGUUGUCUGAGAGUAUCAUGUUUCGAUCUGAAACGCAGUGAGGUUAUUUCAUUAUGACCCAUCACGCUGGCGUAACUGUUUGGGAAUCGUGAAGGAGCGUGCGUGUGUUGCUUCCUCACCCAGCAACACACAUUGUAACGCUCCGCAGGACUGGUGUUUGGGUGGACUCAUUCGAACGUCGGUGAUGCGGUACGCUCAGUCCUAAUUUUGUGUGCGUCAUACACCCGAGGCAGUCGCAAGAUUGCUUCGAGGCGACACGAAUUCCACGGACUUGCGUGCUUUAGCUGCCCAUGUUUGGUCUGUUCUGUAUAGCCCCGCCUGGUUCUUCAUGCCCUGAACCUGUCAGGGUAUUCAUUGCUGAGG
rnacentral:rRNA from 1 species